AGGGAUACCCAGGCAAUCCCCGAAACUACAAUGCCCAAAAUGCUCCAAGUGGGACGCGCCCAGAGUGAAGGAGCAAAGGGGACUCGGCCGCCAUGUUAGGAGUACUGGGACGAUUCCGCGGAGCCGGGCAGAGGUUUUAGGGGAAUGAUUAACAAAGGUGUCCGAAGAAAUCGUUGUUGGAAGGUGGCCAAAGUGGAAAGAGACGUUGCUUUGGCCCUGCAAGUAAGAAGAAAAAAGGAAUAGCCUGAAGGAGUAACACUAAAUUUAAAAUGACACUUUUUUACCAACCAGCGAAAGCAGAUGUUCAAAGGGGAUAUUGGCCAGAGUCUGUCACACUAAGAUGAGAAAUGUCCUUUCUUCCUGAAGGUGUCUGAUGUGUAAAAAUACUGAUACACUUUGUGCUGUUUCCUCCCUUCCCUUUUGCACAUUUUUCUGAAACAACAUUAACUAGUUACUUUGCGUCAUUGAAGAACUCACUUUGAGGCCAAGCGUGGUUGCUCAGGCCUGUAAUCCCAGCACUUUGGGAGGCCGAGGCAGGUGGAUCACCUGAGGUCAGGAGUUGGAGACCAGCCUGGCCAACAUGACAAGCCCCGUCUCUACUAAAAAUACAAAAAUUAGCCUGGCAUGGUGGCACACACCUGUAAUUCCAGCUGCUCGGGAGGCUGAAGCAUGAGAAUCACUUGAACCUGAGAGGCAGAGGUUGCAGUGAGCCGAGGUUGCAGUGAAUCAAGAUCACACCACUGCACUCCAGCCUGGGCAACAGAGUGAGACUCCGUCUCAAGAAGAAGAAAAAGAAAAAAAACUCACUUUAAACUCUGCUAGACCAUUGUCUUUGUAUGUGAAAUUUUAUCUGGAUAGAAGAAGAUGAGGAAAAAAUUUUUCUUGUCUUUUAGUGGAGGAGAAUGACAUGUAAAACAAGUAUUCUUUAAAAAUUCCAAAUAUGAUAUGAGAACUACCCCAUAAAGUUGUGAAGGUCAAAUUGGUGAAAGGAAAACUAAGUGCUGUGUAAAUUACAAAGUUGUCUAAGUAUCCACCUGGUCCUUACCUUGCUAUAGAAUCUUUUUUUUUUUUAGAUGGAGUCUAGCUCUGUCGCCCAGUCUGGAGUGCAGUGGCGCAAGCUCCGCUUACUGCAAGCUCUGCCUCCUGGGUUCAUGCCAUUCUCCUGCCUCAACCUCCCGAGUAGCUGGGAUUACAGGUGCCCACCACCACACCCAGCUAAUUUUUUUUUUUUUUUUUUGUAUUUUUAGUAGAGACGGGGUUUUCCCAUGUUAGCCAGGAUGGUCUUGAUCUCCUGACCUCGUGAUCUGCCCGCCUCGGCCUCCCAAGGUGCUGGGAUUACAGGUGUGAGCCACCACGCCCGUCCUACCUUGCUAUAGAAUCUUUAGGCCUAAUAUAGUCUAGCCAGAACAGCUAUUUGGAUGCUUGCCUAAUCUUCAAUACUGGUUUCCCUUUUAUACAUGACUGGAAAACUGACUCUCACCUAGGUUUGUGAUGUUAGAAACUCCAGUUGUUUACUAUUAUUAUUAAAGUGGGAAACAGGGAGUUCGUUGAUCAAAUGGAUUAAUGUUUUGAGUACUUACUAUGCACCAGGGGCUCUUAAAUUUUUACAUAAACUUUCUGGAUGGAGAGUGAUAGAAUCUCCAUUGUUCACUUGCCACAAGCCACACCAUUUGUAGCUAACAUUUGAAUGCUUACUAUGAGCAAAGGCACUGUUCCAAGGGCAUUACAUGCACAUCAUUCAUAUUUCUCAUUUAAUCUUUAUAACAACUCCUUAAAAUACUGGUAAUAUUCUUGUUCCCUAAUUUGUCAAUAAGAAAACUGAAAUUUAGAGAUUAUACAAUUUGCCCAGCACUAUUGGAAAGCUGGGACUUUGAACCCUGGCUGAUUUGACUCCAAAGUCUGCACUCUAUUCCAAUAGACUGCCAGUGCCUCCAGAAUUAAUUAGCAUUAAUCUUUUCUGUUGUUUAUGAUCUAAGUAUGGCUGUCCAUGGCAGGGAGUUAAUGCGGGAGGCAUUAAUGGGGAAACACUGGACCACUUCUGAGAGAUGUGGUGCCCUCCCUCACAAACAGGUUUCUUGUGGUGAAAUCAGGUUGGAAGGAUAAGAGAGGCUGAAGAAGGUGGAGGUGGUGCAGUUGGGCCUGUUUAGGAACUGAUUACAUCUGAGCCUCUGGCCCUUUUUCCUGCCAGCUGACUCAGAGCUGGCAGAUGGGCCAAAGUCCAGGCAGGUUGAUUUCAUGGGCUGUAUACUUCAAAGGAUCUGAUUCCUGGUGCUACUAAGCACAUUGCUUUUCCGAAGGCACAGUAUUGUGGGGGAGGGAACAGUAUGGUCUCCAUGAGGUGUUUGUGAAAGCCCUAGGCAAUGUUUGCUCUAAUCCAAAUAUAUACAGCUUGUUUUGAGUUUGGCAAUAAAACACAGAGCCAGCCCUAAGCAGGGCUGAAAACUGAGUAUUUAAACCUUAAGUAUUCUGCAACACAACAACAGUUAAGUAUAUGGGUCCUAGAGUCAGAUAGAACUGAAAUCUAAUCUUGACUUCACCACUCAGCUGUAGAUAAAUUACUAGACCUCAGUUUUCUUGUUCGUGAAAUAGGGAUUUUAGUUAUAGAGUACCUACUUCAUAUGGUUGUCAUGAGGAUUAAACAAAAAUGUAUACCACAGUACCUGAGAUGUAGUAAACACUCUUGAAACAUUAGUCAUUAUUCAUUUUUUAAAUUUUUCCUUCAAAUACUUUCCUAUCCAAUAGUCAUUAUUCAUUGAAAACUUCUAUUUUAUAAGAUGAUCUCAGCACUUAAACAAAAUAAAUUGAUUCAUCAUGUUUUCACUUAA